GGUUGAUUGCGCCGCAUAGUGAAACCGGCAACUGAAGACAGUUUGCGAUACGAAACCCACAUUCGUUGUAAUAUUUACAAUUUUUUAUCGCGAACAGAACCUAGCCGCACUAAAUGUAAACAUACCGAGACCGAGACACGUUUGGUAAUGACGAUAGUUAUACCCUGGCGUACCAGAUGGCGUGUCACGAGAAACAUCCAAGGAUGUAUGUAUGUGUGAGUAUAUUCUUACCCAUAAUACUUGUGUAUACGCAUAUAUUAUAGUUUUAAUCGAACUCUUUCAAAAUGGUGACGUGGUAUUUAUACAGCUCAGCUAAAAUCGAAGUGAAAUGCAACAUAUUACCAGAGACCCGGCAGGGGGUGAUUGGAUUAACUUCACGAAGAAGGGCGCAGCAACGAUAACGACACAAAGCGAAUUCUUUGAAUAAAGUAUUCUGGCAAGGGGCGAAUAUCGUAGCAGGCGAUCACUUGGAAAAUUUUCAAGGCAUCGCUGUGCGCGUUACAUCGAAUAUACAGUAAUGUAGAAAAUUUCCACGUUAAUAAAUAAAAACCUACAAAUCGUAUCGACAAUCUCUUCAAGUAUAUUUUAUUGUAACGAAGACCCUAAUUAUUUCGUUUUGUUAUUACCAAAUAUUAUCCCUCUCUAUCAGUCAAUAUGUUCAUCAACUUAUCGAUCCUUGUACGAACGUCAAAUAAUUUGAAUUGUAAAUCC